rnacentral:rRNA from 1 species
AUUGAACGCUGGCGGCAGGCCUAACACAUGCAAGUCGAACGGUAACAGGAAACAGCUUGCUGUUUCGCUGACGAGUGGCGGACGGGUGAGUAAUGUCUGGGAAACUGCCUGAUGGAGGGGGAUAACUACUGGAAACGGUAGCUAAUACCGCAUAACGUCGCAAGACCAAAGAGGGGGACCCUCGGGGCCUCUUGCCAUCGGAUGUGCCCAGAUGGGAUUAGCUUGUUGGUGGGGUAACGGCUCACCAAGGCGACGAUCCCUAGCUGGUCUGAGAGGAUGACCAGCCACACUGGAACUGAGACACGGUCCAGACUCCUACGGGAGGCAGCAGUGGGGAAUAUUGCACAAUGGGCGCAAGCCUGAUGCAGCCAUGCCGCGUGUAUGAAGAAGGCC